rnacentral:rRNA from 1 species
GAUGAACGCUGGCGGCGUGCCUAAUACAUGCAAGUCGAGCGAAGCGGGGACGGGUGAGUAACACGUGGAUAACCUCCUAUAAGACUGGGAUAACUUCGGGAAACCGGAGCUAAACCGGAUACUUAUCGAUGGAUCCGCGCUGCAUUAGCUAGUUGGUAAGGUAACGGCUUAACAAGGCAACGAUGCAUCGCCGACCUGAGAGGUUGAUCGGCCACACUGUAACGGAGAAACGGUCCGGACUCCUACGGGAGGCGGCAGUAGGGAAGCAUCCGCAAUGGGCGAAAGCCUGAUGUCGCAACGCCGCUUGAGUGAUGAAGGUCUUCGGAUCGUCAAACUCUGGUAUUAGGGCAGCGGUACCUACUCAGAAAGCCACGGCUAACUACGCGCCAGCAGCCGCGGUAAUAC